GUGCUCACUUUGGCAGCACAUACACUAAAACUGGACUGAUACAGAGAUUAGCAUGAUCCCUGUGCAAAGAUGGCACACAAAUUUGUGAAGCAUUCUGUAUGUAU